rfam:Schistosoma mansoni strain Puerto Rico chromosome 4, complete genome
AUCCGGCUGAUGAGUACCAAAUAGGACGAAACGGGCGUCAUAGAU